AUUGAACGCUGGCGGCAGGCUUAACACAUGCAAGUCGAGCGGAGAUGAGGUGCUUGCACCUUAUCUUAGCGGCGGACGGGUGAGUAAUGCUUAGGAAUCUGCCUAUUAGUGGGGGACAACAUUCCGAAAGGAAUGCUAAUACCGCAUACGUCCUACGGGAGAAAGCAGGGGAUCUUCGGACCUUGCGCUAAUAGAUGAGCCUAAGUCGGAUUAGCUAGUUGGUGGGGUAAAGGCCUACCAAGGCGACGAUCUGUAGCGGGUCUGAGAGGAUGAUCCGCCACACUGGGACUGGGACACGGCCCAGACUCCUGCGGGGGGCAGCAGUGGGGAAUAUUGGACAAUGGGGGAAACCCUGAUCCAGCCAUGCCGCGUGUGUGAAGAAGGCCUUAUGGUUGUAAAGCACUUUAAGUGAGGAGGAGGCUACUGAGACUAAUACUCUUGGAUAGUGGACGUUACUCGCAGAAUAAGCACCGGCUAACUCUGUGCCAGCCGCCGCGGUAA
rnacentral:rRNA from 1 species